rnacentral:rRNA from 1 species
ACGAACGCUGGCGGCACGCUUAACACAUGCAAGUCGAACGAGAGAAGAGAAGCUUGCUUUUCUGAUCUAGUGGCGGACGGGUGAGUAACACGUGAGCAAUCUGCCUUUCAGAGGGGGAUACCGAUUGGAAACGAUCGUUAAUACCGCAUAAUAUAAUUGAACCGCAUGAUUUGAUUAUCAAAGAUUUAUCGCUGAAAGAUGAGCUCGCGUCUGAUUAGCUAGUUGGUAAGGUAACGGCUUACCAAGGCGACGAUCAGUAGCCGGACUGAGAGGUUGAUCGGCCACAUUGGGACUGAGACACGGUCCAGACUCCUACGGGAGGCAGCAGUGGGGAAUAUUGCACAAUGGAGGAAACUCUGAUGCAGCGAUGCCGCGUGAGGGAAGAAGGUUUUAGGAUUGUAAACCUCUGUCUUCAGGGACGAAAAAUGACGGUACCUGAGGAGGAAGCUCCGGCUAACUACGUGCCAGCAGCCGCGGUAAUACGUAGGGAGCGAGCGUUGUCCGGAAUUACUGGGUGUAAAGGGAGCGUAGGCGGGAUCGCAAGUCAGAUGUGAAAACUAUGGGCUUAACCCAUAAACUGCAUUUGAAACUGUGGUUCUUGAGUGAAGUAGAGGUAAGCGGAAUUCCUAGUGUAGCGGUGAAAUGCGUAGAUAUUAGGAGGAACAUCAGUGGCGAAGGCGGCUUACUGGGCUUUAACUGACGCUGAGGCUCGGAAGCGUGGGGAGCAAACAGGAUUAGAUACCCUGGUAGUCCACGCCGUAAACGAUGAUUACUAGGUGUGGGGGGACUGACCCCUUCCGUGCCGCAGCAAACGCAAUAAGUAAUCCACCUGGGGAGUACGACCGCAAGGUUGAAACUCAAAGGAAUUGACGGGGGCCCGCACAAGCAGUGGAGUAUGUGGAUUAAUUCGAAGCAACGCGAAGAACCUUACCAGGUCUUGACAUCGUAUGCAUAGCUCAGAGAUGAGUGAAAUCUCUUCGGAGACAUAUAGACAGGUGGUGCAUGGUUGUCGUCAGCUCGUGUCGUGAGAUGUUGGGUUAAGUCCCGCAACGAGCGCAACCCUUACUGUUAGUUGCUACGCAAGAGCACUCUAGCAGGACUGCCGUUGACAAAACGGAGGAAGGUGGGGAUGACGUCAAAUCAUCAUGCCCCUUAUGACCUGGGCCUCACACGUACUACAAUGGCUGUCAACAGAGGGAAGCAAAGCCGCGAGGUGGAGCAAACCCCUAAAAGCAGUCUUAGUUCGGAUUGUAGGCUGCAACCCGCCUACAUGAAGUCGGAAUUGCUAGUAAUCGCAGAUCAGCAUGCUGCGGUGAAUACGUUCCCGGGCCUUGUACACACCGCCCGUCACGCCAUGGGAGUCGGUAACACCCGAAGCCUGUAGUCUAACCGCAAGGAGGACGCAGUCGAAGGUGGGAUUGAUGACUGGGGUG